rnacentral:rRNA from 1 species
AUACGGAGGAUCCGAGCGUUAUCCGGAUUUAUUGGGUUUAAAGGGUGCGCAGGCGGCCAUUUAAGUCAGCGGUUAAAUCGUGGGGCUCAACCCCAUUCUGCCGUUGAUACUGGGUGGCUUGAUUGCGGUCGAGGUUGGCGGAAUUCUUUGUGUAGCGGGUGAAUGCAUAGAUAUGACGAAGAACACCGAUUGCGUAGGCAGCUGACCAGACCGCAAAUGACGCUCAUGCACGAAAGUGCGGGGAUCGAACAGGAUUAGAUACCCUGGUAGUCCGCACAGUAAACGAUGAAUACUUGUUUUCGGCGAUAUAAUGUCGGAGGCAAAGCGAAAGCGAUAAGUAUUCCACCUGGGGAGUACGCCGGCAACGGUGAAACUCAAAGGAAUUGACGGGG